AACUGAAGAGUUUGAUCAUGGCUCAGAUUGAACGCUGGCGGCAGGCCUAACACAUGCAAGUCGAGCGGAAACGAUGGUAGCUUGCUACCAGGCGUCGAGCGGCGGACGGGUGAGUAACGCGUGAGAAUCUGCCCAUUUGUGGGGGAUAACUCGGGGAAACUCGAGCUAAUACCGCAUAAUCCCUACGGGGGAAAGCAGGGGACCUUCGGGCCUUGUGCAGAUGGAUGAGCUCGCGUCGGAUUAGCUAGUUGGUAGGGUAAAGGCCUACCAAGGCGACGAUCCGUAGCUGGUCUGAGAGGAUGAUCAGCCACACUGGGACUGAGACACGGCCCAGACUCCUACGGGAGGCAGCAGUGGGGAAUCUUGGACAAUGGGGGCAACCCUGAUCCAGCCAUGCCGCGUGUGUGAAGAAGGCCUUAGGGUUGUAAAGCACUUUCAGUAGGGAGGAAGGCUU
rnacentral:rRNA from 1 species